rnacentral:misc_RNA from 1 species
GAAAUGCGAUAAGUAAUGUGAAUUGCAGAAUUCAGUGAAUCAUCGAAUCUUUGAACGCACAUUGCGCCCGGCAGUAUUCUGCCGGGCAUGCCUGUCCGAGCGUCAUUUCAACCAUCAAGCCCCCGGGCUUGUGUUGGGGACCUGCGGCUGCCCGCAGGCCCUGAAAACCAGUGGCGGGCUCGCUGUCACACCGAGCGUAGUAGCAAUCACCUCGCUCAGGGCGUGCUGCGGGUUCCGGCCGUUAAACAGCCUUACAAAACCCAAGGUUGACCUCGGAUCAGGUAGGAAGACCCGCUGAACUUAAGC